rnacentral:rRNA from 1 species
UACAGAGACCACAAGCGUUACUCGGAUUCACUGGGCGUAAAGGGUGCGUAGGCGGUUAGAUGUGUCAGGUGUGAAAUUCCGGGGCUCAACCUCGGAGCUGCGCCUGAAACUAUUUAGCUAGAGUGUCGGAGGGGUAAGCGGAAUUCCAGGUGUAGCAGUGAAAUGCAUAGAUAUCAAGAGGAACACCAGUGGCGAAGGCGAGUCCCUGGACGAUACCUGACACUGAGGCACGAAAGCCAAGGGAGCAAACAGG